rnacentral:rRNA from 1 species
UACGUAGGGCGCAAGCGUUGUCCGGAAUUAUUGGGCGUAAAGAGCUCGUAGGCGGUUUGUCGCGUCUGCUGUGAAAACCUGAGGCUCAACCUCGGGCUUGCAGUGGGUACGGGCAGACUAGAGUGCGGUAGGAGUGACUGGAAUUCCUGGUGUAGCGGUGGAAUGCGCAGAUAUCAGGAGGAACACCGAUGGCGAAGGCAGGUCACUGGGCCGCAACUGACGCUGAGGAGCGAAAGCAUGGGGAGCGAACAGG